UAGCUCAGUUGGUUAGAGCACAUCACUCAUAAUGAUGGGGUCCCUAGUUCGAAUCUAG
rnacentral:tRNA from 1 species